GGCCCGAAGCUCACGCUGGAGCCCAGAUGACCAGAGUCGCCCCCGCUGUUGUUCAAGGACAAGAGAACCCAGGCCCACGUGGGUUAGGAUGCUUGGCCUCAACCUUCAUCUUCCCAGGACCAUUGAGAGGAGUCAGCUUGAUUGACAGGCAGCCAGACAGGGCAGUGCCCCACGGGAAACAAAGGCAGGUGGAAGGGAGGCAGGGCAGACACUGUCACGUGAGCCAGCCUAACCACGGAAGCCAACCGCGCAGAAAUAACAGGACGAUUUUAGACUCAGAGAGGAGACACGUGCAACUAGGGAGGGGCUGCAACACUAAGGUGAGCUGAGGCAUAGGAACCAGGAAGGGUCAGUUGUGCUUCUGGGCAAGAACAAUUGAGAGAAUCAAUCAGGUGUCCACAGGGGGAGAUAGAGAGCAGGUUUGUAGCAAAUAUGUACCCCUAGACCACAGGCUUCCGUGGCCACCAUGACUGAGUCCACUCCCCAUGCAGGGAGUCUGAAUCUGCUUGCAAUAAAGUUUCCCCACUUUUGCUUC